GUGGACGCAUCACUGGUGUUCGGGUUGUCAUGCCAAUGGCACUGCCCGGUAGCUAAAUGCGGAAGAGAUAAGUGCUGAAAGCAUCUAAGCACGAAACUUGCCCCGAGAUGAGUUCUCCCUGAGACUNUAAGUCUCCUGAAGGAACGUUAAAGACGAUGACGUUGAUAGGCCGGGUGUGUAAGCGCAGCGAUGCGUUGAGCUAACCGGUACUAAUGAACCGUGAGGCUUAACCUU
rnacentral:rRNA from 1 species